rnacentral:rRNA from 1 species
UACGAAGGUGGCAAGCGUUGUUCGGAUUCACUGGGCGUACAGGGAGCGUAGGCGGUUGGGUAAGCCCUCCGUGAAAACCCCAGGCCUAACCUGGGAAGUGCAGAGGGGACUGCUCGGCUAGAGGACGGGAGAGGAGCGCGGAAUUCCCGGUGUAGCGGUGAAAUGCGUAGAGAUCGGGAGGAAGGCCGGUGGCGAAGGCGGCGCUCUGGAACGUCCCUGACGCUGAGGCUCGAAAGCGUGGGGAGCAAACAGGAUUAGAAACCCUAGUAGU